rnacentral:rRNA from 1 species
CGUGAAUACAUAGCGUGAGGAAGGCAGACCCAGGGAACUGAAACAUCUAAGUACCUGGAGGAAGAGAAAGAAAAAUCGAUUUCCUGAGUAGCGGCGAGCGAAACGGAAAGAGCCCAAACCAAGAAGCUUGCUUCUUGGGGUUGUAGGACACUCUAUACGGAGUUACAAAAGAAAGUUAUAAAUGAAGCGGUCUGGAAAGGCCCGCCAAAGACGGUAACAGCCCGGUAGUUGAAAUAGCUUUCCCUCCAGAGUGGAUCCUGAGUACGGCGGAACACGUGAAAUUCCGUCGGAAUCCGGGAGGACCAUCUCCCAAGGCUAAAUACUCCCUAGUGACCGAUAGUGAACCAGUACCGUGAGGGAAAGGUGAAAAGCACCCCGGAAGGGGAGUGAAACAGUUCCUGAAACCGUGUGCCUACAAGUAGUUAGAGCCCGUUAAUGGGUGAUAGCGUGCCUUUUGUAGAAUGAACCGGCGAGUUACGAUUUGUUGCAAGGUUAAGCGGAAAAAGCGGAGCCGUAGCGAAAGCGAGUCUGAAUAGGGCGCAUAAGUAACAGGUCGUAGACCCGAAACCAGGUGAUCUACCCAUGUCCAGGAUGAAGGUAAGGUAAUACUUACUGGAGGUCCGAACCCACGCACGUUGAAAAGUGCGGGGAUGAGGUGUGGGUAGCGGAGAAAUUCCAAUCGAACUUGGAGAUAGCUGGUUCUCUCCGAAAUAGCUUUAGGGCUAGCCUCGAGGUAAAGAGUCAUGGAGGUAGAGCACUGUUUGGACUAGGGGCCCUUCUCGGGUUACCGAAUUCAGAUAAACUCCGAAUGCCAUGUACUUAUACUCGGGAGUCAGACUGCGAGUGAUAAGAUCCGUAGUCGAAAGGGAAACAGCCCAGACCACCAGUUAAGGUCCCCAAAUAUAUGUUAAGUGGAAAAGGAUGUGGGGUUGCUUAGACAACCAGGAUGUUGGCUUAGAAGCAGCCACCAUUGAAAGAGUGCGUAAUAGCUCACUGGUCGAGUGACCCCGCGCCGAAAAUGUACCGGGGCUAAACAUAUUACCGAAACUGUGGAUGAACCUCUUUGGAGGUUCGUGGUAGGAGAGCGUUCUAAGGGCGGUGAAGUCAGACCGGAAGGACUGGUGGAGCGCUUAGAAGUGAGAAUGCCGGUAUGAGUAGCGAAAGAAGGGUGAGAAUCCCUUCCACCGAAUAUCUAAGGUUUCCUGAGGAAGGCUCGUCCGCUCAGGGUUAGUCGGGACCUAAGCCGAGGCCGAUAGGCGUAGGCGAUGGACAACAGGUAGAGAUUCCUGUACCAGUGCUAAUUGUUUAACC